rnacentral:rRNA from 1 species
AUUGAACGCUGGCGGCAUGCCUUACACAUGCAAGUCGAACGGCAGCAUGAUCUAGCUUGCUAGAUUGAUGGCGAGUGGCGAACGGGUGAGUAAUACAUCGGAACGUGCCCUGUAGUGGGGGAUAACUAGUCGAAAGAUUAGCUAAUACCGCAUACGACCUGAGGGUGAAAGUGGGGGACCGCAAGGCCUCAUGCUAUAGGAGCGGCCGAUGUCUGAUUAGCUAGUUGGUGAGGUAAAGGCUCACCAAGGCGACGAUCAGUAGCUGGUCUGAGAGGACGAUCAGCCACACUGGGACUGAGACACGGCCCAGACUCCUACGGGAGGCAGCAGUGGGGAAUUUUGGACAAUGGGCGAAAGCCUGAUCCAGCAAUGCCGCGUGUGUGAAGAAGGCCUUCGGGUUGUAAAGCACUUUUGUCCGGAAAGAAAUGGCUCUGGUUAAUACCUGGGGUCGAUGACGGUGCCGGAAGAAUAAGGACCGGCUAACUACGUG